ACGCUGACCACACAAGCUCAUCCCCUCCCCUCUCCACCCACACAGACGCAUCCUUUUGUUUUUCCUCUAGCUUCAUCGCCUAUCGACCAUCAUCGUGCUUUUCCAUCCUCCUCUCCGCGCAGACCCUCUCUCCCUCUCUCUCUGUGUUGCCGCUGUCCUUCCACCUCUGCUCACCGCUCUCUCUUCUUUCUGCACCUUCGCCACCAUGUCCGCUGUCUGGGCCCAGGUGAGGCAGACGGUGGAGUCCGAGUGGGAUAAGACGAUCGUACCGGCCAUCUCGGCCUACAUCGAGGUGCCGAACCAGAGCCCGCAGUUCGAUCCGGAGUGGGCCACCAAUGGCCUGCAGGAGAAAGCCUUUGGCAUCCUCAUUGAUUGGAUGAAUGCGCAGAACGUGCAGGGGCUCACGUACGACUUUAUCACCGCGGAUGGCCGCACGCCGUUCCUCCUCGUCGAGAUCGCCGGCACCGAGCCGACCAAGAACACGGUGCUUAUGUACGGCCACAUGGACAAGCAGCCGCCUCUCCGCCCGUGGGCGGAUGGUCUCGACCCCCACAAGGCGGUCGUGCGCGAUGGCAAGCUGUACGGCCGCGGUGGCGCCGAUGACGGCUACGCGCUCUUUGCCGCCGUCACCGCCAUCUCGUCGCUGCAGCGCCACGGCAUCCCGCACGGCCGUGUCGUGAUCACGAUCGAGGCCGGCGAGGAGUCCGGCAGCCCGGACCUGGGCUACUACAUGGAGCGCUGCAAGGAGCGCAUCGGCAAGGUGGACCUCAUGGUGUGCCUGGACAGCGGCAGCAUGAACUACUCGCAGGUGUGGCUCACGACGUCGCUGCGCGGCGUUGCGAUCGGCGAGCUGACGGUGCAGACACUGACGGAGAGCAUGCACAGUGGCGUCGCCGGCGGCGUUGUGCCGGACACGUUCCGCAUCACGCGCGAGCUCCUCAGCCGCAUCGAGGACUGCAAGACGGGCGAGGUGACGAUCCCGGAGGCCCACUGCGAGAUCCCGCCCUACGCGGCCAAGGCGGCGGAGGCGAUGAAGGCGGUGCCGUUCAAGGAGCAGUUUGCGAUGGCGGCGGGCGUGGCGACGGUGCCUGGCGACAACGUCGAGCUGGCGAUUCAGAACUUUUGGAAGCCGAGCCUCACCGUGACGGGCGCCAACCUGCCGGACCCGCAGAUCGCCGGCAACGUCAUCCGCACCCACACGACGGUGAAGCUUUCCAUGCGCCUGCCCCCCCUGGUGAAGGCCGAGGCUGCACUGCAGGCGAUGAAGCGCAUCCUGGAGGCAGACCCGCCGUACGGCGCCAAGGUGACCUUCAAGAGCGUGGGCGCCGGCAACGGCUGUGCUGCGCCGGAGCUGAAGCCGUGGCUGCGGGAGGUGCUGCACGAGGGCAGCACCGAGGCCUUCGGCAACACGUACGCGUGCCAGGGCAUGGGUGGCGCCAUCCCGUUCAUCGGCAUGCUCAUCGACAUGUAUCCAGAGGCGCAGUUCGUCGUGACGGGUCUCCUCGGCCCGCAGAGCAACGCGCACGGGCCGAACGAGUUCCUGCACAUCCCGUACGCUAAGGGGUUGACGUACAGCAUCGCGCGCGUCGUGGCGGCGCACCUCGACAACACGCCCAAGUGAGGCAACGCGCCACGUGCCGGGGGCGGCAAAAGAGGGCUGCAGGGGAAGCGACGAGAGGAGCACCGGGCGUGAUGGGCCAGAGAGGAGGGAUGGGGGAGGCGAGAAGGCCCCCGUGGCGACCGUCAAGCCCCAGCCCCUUCCCAUCGCACCUCCUCGCAUCCUGCUGCUGCUACUGGUGCUACGCUGUUUCUCUCGUCGCUGCCCGUGGGCAUUUCGCUGGUGCUUCCUCCUUCGCGCACUUUUUCUUUCGACCCACGCAACGCGCCACGGGAGAACUGAGCGGCCGGUGGAGGAGCAGCGGGGUGUGGGGGUGGGGGGUGCGAGGCGGAGCCGACAGGGCGCGGACUCGGGUGAGCGCGUGCUUGACCGUUCUGGCGUGGGAGGGGAGGUCCUCAUACGCUCCCCUGCUGCGUUCCCUUCCCUCUCUUCUGCACUUUACCCCCGCACACCCCACAUCGGCUACUUUCCCGUGUUGCCCGGUGCCGUCCAGCGGGACGGUCGUCUGUGCCCCUCGCCCGCCCUUGUCGAGUUAGGCCGUGACGCCUCCUCUUCUGUUUUUUGGGCGGCAGUGCGAGCGUUUCCUCUUUCUCUGCGCGCUUCCACCUGCUUGGAUGUGGUGGUGGUGAUGGUGCGCGCACAUGCAGAACUGCUCGGCGUGUUGGCACCGCUACGGAGCGGCAGCAUACGACCGAGGUCACCACCCGCGAAGGUCGAGCUGCGUAUUUCCUCUUCAGGGUUUUUUUUUCGCGUAGAUGUGCAUGCGCCAAUGUCUCGUAUCGACGCAGAGUUUCACGGACACGCUAAAGGAGGGGUUGACGUAUUCCAUGCGCAGCGAGGUUCAUUGGCGCCCAAAUACGGUUUCUGCUGGCUGUGUGGAAUGCAGAAGUGUUUGGAAGGAACCACAUCCGCAAUCCCUGUGAUGUCGGGAGAUACCUCAGAGCGUGGCAUCUCACUGUUCAGUACACCGACGCUCGGCGGAAAAGCCACGUAUCCCCAUACCUCACCCUGCCAAUGCCGAGCCACCUCUGGUGGUGGCAUGGCCUAGUGCCUACGACGUAGCGGGGCCAGAGCAACCUGCGAUGGCGAAAACGCUUGUGCCAUCCACGUGAUGGGCAAGGUGUCAGCGUGGCUGUGAGGCGGGCGGGCAGAGUGUGAGGCAGCGGCCACGCUCAGGUGACUGAGUCGGUGCACGGCUGUAACGCGUGUGUGCAGGGCUGCUUCGCACCACGCGAUGGGGGCCUGUGACCGGCGUGGAGGGGGUGUAGAGUUGGGGGGGCGGCUAAGCCGUGUUGAAUGGCGGAGAAGCGGGCACAGUACAAGACGCGAAAAAACUCUGGUAGGCUCGCUUCAAGGUGUCCCCUCUUUAUGAAGCUGCUGUGAGUAGCGGGUGUAUCCUGGAGCUGCGUGAUCACCCAUUCGUUGCCGGUGUCUCGUGCCUGUGGUGUGCGUCUCCAGGCUUCACGAUAUCACGCGCCCUUCCCUCUUUCUCUUAUUGUUCCACCCAUCGGCUCUCUUCUUAUGUCUCUUCUGGGGGGCUGCGCACUGAGGCAUAGUCUCACGCUCUCACUUCCAGGCUUGCUGAAGUGUCUUCGCCGGCGCGAGUGCUACCCAAGAGGUGUGGUACGGUGAUGCCCGGAGACGCAGACUUUAGUGUCCUUACGGAUCCUACCGCUUCCGAGACGCGUUCGUGAGCGCAGGGCGAACUGAAAAACGCAGCUCAAGGAGGCGUCCGAGGAAGAAGAAGCGCCAUGGGCUUCACCUUUUCAUAUAUACAUGUGUAAUUUUCCUUUCUUUGUGAUGUCAGCUCGCUCGCUGAAGAAAAGGGGCGUGGGUGCGCAGGCUUUCCCUCCUUUGUCGACGGACGAAUGGCGGACUUCUGCCUUGCUGCUCGUGCCCGCCUCUGUUUUCGAAGACAGGUGUUUCCUUGCCCUCGCUCUUACUCUCCCUCUCUUGCGUCUUGUAUUCAUGUUCCGCUUCCUUUUUUUUUUUUGAGAAGGCUUCGGUGCCGCGGCACACACACACGCACUCCUGGUCGGACCCACACCCCGAAAGAGAGCAGUUUCGCCUCCUCCUCUUCCUGACCUCGAACAGCGGUGCCCAGAGAUUCGAUACGGUCUUACCCGCUCGCCCUUCUCCCCCCAUCCUUCCUUCUGUUGCCCACAUAGUCUGGCGGAAGUUGAAGGGCGAGUGAGAGGGGAAGGAGAAGUGGUCGACAGUCAAGGGAAGCUCUUUGUGCUUCUUCCGUCAUUCUCGUUCGUGGGUGCCGCGCCGGCUGCUGUGUAGCCGUGCCAUGGUGUUUGUGAAGAAACGCUCUGCUCCCUCCCCUCCUCUUUCUCUCUCUCGCUCUCUCGAUCUCGUGCCCCAGAAGCGUCUUCGACGCCCUCACGGCCGAAAUUCGGAGCCUCGUCGGCGUCAGGGAAGCUGCUGAGGACGCGUUCAAACGGUGAAG
rnacentral:misc_RNA from 1 species